rnacentral:lncRNA from 1 species
CUGGACAUCUGUACUACAGUCACUGAUGUUUUAAUGGGCUUCUUCAAACUUCUGUUUCCUUUCAGGUCUCAUUCUUCACUGCAGAGAUAACUCACAGAUGUCUCAAACCUGCAUGCCCCUGUGAGUGCAGGGAAACUCACUGCAAGGACAAUACUCAGCCAGCCAAGGACUGUCCCAGCUGAGCAUGCCAGAGAGAGGCACUCCAGACCUUUCUAGAAGCAUCCAGUACAGCCGAGAGCCUAAACAGUCACCUCCAUAAUGCAUUGAAUCACUGAUCCC